rnacentral:rRNA from 1 species
GCAGAUUAAGGGGUGGCCAAGUCGGGUGUCAGCCGCCGCGGUAAUACCAGCACCCAGAGUGGUCGGGACGUUUAUUGGGCUUAAAGCAUCGGUAGCCGUUUGUACAAGUUUUCCGUUAAAUCCACCUGCUUAACAGAUGGGCUGCGGAAGAUACUAUAGAGCUAGGAGGCGGGAGAGGCAAGCGGUACUCGAUGGGUAGGGGUAAAAUCCGUUGAUCCAUGGAAGACCACCAGUGGCGAAGGCGUCCAGCCAGAACGCGCUCGACGGUGAGGGAUGAAAGCCGGGGGAGCAAACCGGAUUAGAUACCCGGGUAGUCCCAGCUGUAAACGAUGCAGACUCGGUGAUGAAUUGGCUUAUAGCUAAUCCAGUGCCGAAGGGAAGCCGUUAAGUUUGCCGCCUGGGGAGUACGGUCCGCAAGAGCUGAAACUUAAAGGAAUUGGCGGGGGAGCACCACAAGCGGCGUGAGAGCCUUGCUGGUUCUAAUUGGAGUCAACGCCGGAAAUCUUCACCAGGGGCGAACAGGCAGAGAUAAGUCA